UACGUAGGGUGCGAGCGUUUAAUCGGAAUUACUGGGCGUAAAGCGUGCGCAGGCGGCGCGUUUAAGACAGGUGUGAAAGCCCCGAGCUUAACUUGGGAAUUGCGCUUGUGACUGGCGUGCUGGAGUGUGGCAGAGGGAGAUGGAAUUCCACGUGUAGCAGUGAAAUGCGUAGAGAUGUGGAGGAACACCGAUGGCGAAGGCAGCCUCCUGGGCCAGCACUGACGCUCAUGCACGAAAGCGUGGGGAGCAAACAGG
rnacentral:rRNA from 1 species